rnacentral:rRNA from 1 species
CCUACGGGGGGCAGCAGUGGGGGAUAUUGCACAAUGGGGGAAACCCUGAUGCAGCGACGCCGCGUGUGGGAAGACGGUCCUCUGGAUUGUAAACCACUGUCCCCAGGGACGAAGAUGACGGUACCUGGGGAGGAAGCUCCGGCUAACUACGUGCCAGCAGCCGCGAUAAUACGUAGGGAGCGAGCGUUGUCCGGAAUUACUGGGUGGAAAGGGAGCGUAGGCGGGGAAGCAGGUUGGGUGUCAAAACUACCGGCUCAACUGGUAGUCGCACUCAAAACUGCAGCUCUUGAGUGAAGUAGAGGCAGGCGGAAUUCAUAGUGUAGCGGUGAAAUGCGUAGAUAGUAGGAGGAACACCAGUGGCGAAGGCGGCCUGCUGGGCUUUUACUGACGCUGAGGCUCGAAAGUGUGGGGAGCAAACAGGAUUAGAUACCCGAGUAGUC